rnacentral:lncRNA from 1 species
UCUACAUGACCUGCCACCCUCCACCUCUCUGACCUCAUCUGCUUCCACUCUGCCCCUCCCUCACCCUGCUCCAGCCACCCUGCCUUCAAAUAUGCCCAUCAUACUCCCACCACAGGGCCUUUGUCUGUGCUGCCCUUUACCUGGAAAACCCUUCCCAUUCUGUCUGCCUGGCUCAGCUACCCACUUCAUUCAGGUCCCUGCUGCCUCCUCCAAGAGGCCUUCUCUGGUCUCCUGUGGUAGGCAGAAUAAUGGCCACAGAGAUGUCCACAUCCUAAUCCCCAAACCUGUGGCUAUGUUACCUUAUAUGGCAAAAGGGACUUCGCAGAUGUGAUGAAGGAUAAAGACUUUCAGAUGGGAGAUUAUCCUGGAUUCCCCAGGUGGGCCCCAUAUGAUCACAAGGAUCCUCACACAUGGAAUAGGGAGGCAGAAAAGGACAGUCGGAGGGAGAUGGGGUGUGGAAACUGAUUAGGGAACCUGAGAGAUGGCAGCGUGGGAAAAACAUGGCUCAAAGCUGUGGGCUUUGAAGGUGGAGGAAGGGGCUAUGAGCCAUGGAAAGCAGACAGCCUUUAGGAGCUGGACAAGACAAGGAAACAAAUUCUCCACCAGAGCCUCCAGCAAGGAACACAGCCCUGCCCUGACCUUGAUCUUGGCCAAGGGAGACUCAUAGAGAAUUUCUGAUCCCUGGAACUGUAAGAUUAUAAAUGCAUGUUUUUUUUAAGGCACUAAAAGUGGGUUAAUUUAUGAUGGCAGGCAUAGGAAACGAAUAUGUCUCCCUUCCUUGAUUGACAGUUCCUCAGCACAUUUAUUAGUGCCUGAUACACAAUAGCUUGACUUAUGAAUUGUCUCUUUUCUCUCACAGAAGGUCAGCUGCAGGAGGGCAGGGAUUUUUUGCUUGCUUGGUGUUACAUUCGCAGAUAGAGUUGUCACAUUUAACAAAUGGAAAUAUAAAACACCCAGUUAAAUUGAAUUUCAGAUAAAUAAUGAACUCCUUUUUAGUAUAAAGUUGCCCCAAAUAUUGCAAUUAUUUAUCGUUUAUCUGAAAUUAAAAUAAUUUAGGAGUCUUGUAUUUUAUCUGGCGAAUUCAUCCCCAACACAUAAAACCAUUCCUGGGUAUGUAUUAGGAUCUCAAUAAAUGUCUGUUGAAUGAGUGAAAUAGAUAAGCAAAUGAAUUCACAUUAACUUCUAGCUUAAAAACCCUCUUUGGCUCCCAGAAUGCCUACAGGGUAAAGUGUAAAUCAUAGCAAAUGAUAAAAGCAGACAGUUUCAUAGCCGCUUCAAUAUGCCAGACCCGGGCUGAGUGCUUUACACUUAUUAACUCACUCGGUUCUUGCAAUAACCCAAUGAGGUGGUUAGCCCAUUUUCCAGAUGAGGAAACUGAGGCCCAGGAGGCUUAGUAACUUGUUCAAAGUCACAUAACCAUUGAGCAGCAGAGCCAGGCAAUUCCAGGCCUUUGAAAACUUGGCUCAUGGAAUGUUCUAAUGUUAUCUCCCUACCCAUUCCCCUGAACACUGUGGAUCCUCUCUCUCUAACAGCCCCCGGUUCCUUUUCAGGGUAUGUGCUUCCGCAUUCUCUGACUGCUGAACUCCUCCUCAUACAUCAAAGCCCUGUCCUACUUUUCUCUCUUUGUGAGACCAUCUCUAAAACUCCCAGGAGGACUUGGCCCCCUCUCUUUCCCCUCCCCACCAUGGCCCCUUGUCUGAAUGCGUUGUAAGGACUUGCUAUUGUGUCCUUUACGUUCCCUGACUGUGACCUCCCUGAGAACGGAGAUGGGCCCCUUUCAGCUCUUUGGCAUGGGGCUUCAAACUGAGUCUGGCUUUAGGGGGGUUCCCAGAAGCAUUUGAGAAUGAAUGAAUGAAUGAAUGAAUGAGUGAGUGAAUGAAUGGCUGAGUGAAUGAACGAAUGCUGUUUGUUUCCACUCUGGGCCUCAGUUUCAGAGUCUAUAAAAGGGGAAGAACAAUCCUGAACCGCCCCCCAUUCCUUAAAACAAAACACAUUUUUUUCUGAUUAUAAAAAUAAUACACAUUCAUUAAAGAAAAAUUGGAAAAUAAUAAAAUUAUGAAGAAGAAAAUUAAAACCAUCCAUAAUCCUGCCACCCAGAACAAUGGUUCCCACUGGGUGUUCAGCCUUCUGCUCUUCUUACUGUAUGUAUAGAUUUAUUAUCUUCUUCUCUUCCCCGCCCUCCCUCCCUUCUCUCCUUCCUUUUUUUUUUGAGUGUUGGGAACAUACAGUAUGGGGUCCUUUAAACCUGCUUUUGAAAUCCCCCAACAUGUGUGUAUGUGUGUUCUCCUGUUUUCUUAAAGCCUCCCUGAUGGCAGGGGACAAGUGGCUGCUAGACAAGCCUGGUAGGGGCCAGGGUGUGGAAAGCCCAUUCCCCCCCUACUCAUGGACCACCAUAGUUCCCUUGUGAUGGGCUGUUUAGGGGGUUUCCAGAUUUCUGUCAGGGAACACCCUGCGUGGAUGUCUUAGCUGCAUCCCUGGUUCCUUCCUUAGGACAGAUUCUGGGACUGGGGUUGCUGAGACCAGUAUAGACACUGAGAGGCUCCGGACACCGCCCCACAUCCUCCCCACAGCUGCUCUCCAGCCCCACUCCCACUGGCAGCCUGGACUUCUCAGCUUGGCAGAAAGCCGGGGGCAGUAUUCCACCUCCUCCAGAGAAAAGCCUUGUCUACACCCAAGGCCUCACUGAUUCCAUCCAACGCUGAAAAUACCCAUUUACUCAGCUAUUUCUCCACGUUAUGGUCUAAGGCCCAGAUGCUUAGUUCCAACCAAAAUAGCCACAGAGGUCACUGUGGUCUGAGGGUCCUCUGGACCUCAGGCCUGUGUAGACAUCAUACUUGGUAAUAAUUAACCCACGGAGCUCACCACGUGCCAGACCCUCUGCGUCUCUGUGUGUCCUCACGGUAACCCUGAAGCUAGGGAUGGCUGUCUCCCAUCUUACAGGUGAGAACACUGAGGGUGCUCCAGAGAGCUGUGGGCCCUAGGCCUUGUCACCUGGGGGUGCAAAGGCGCUGCCCCAGUAGUCCGGCUGCCUGCUACCUGGCUGCCUGCUACCCAAUGGGGCAAAGUCCCAGCACUACCCCGAAACAAGGACAAGCUUUGGCCUAGAAGCUGGGCAGCCAGGUCCUGUGCCUGUUUUUUCUCCAUAUGUGCCCUGGGCAGCUCACCCUCUCCGUCUGUGAAAUGGGAGAGCAGGGAGUCAGAGACAGCCUCCUAGGCCUGUGGCGGCUCUGAGCACAGUGGGUGCAGAUACUCAGUGCUGAGUCAAAGAGAGAGAGAACCCUGCCAGAUGGGCCAGCUCACCACAAGCAGCCAAGCCCGGUCUUUGAGGGGUUGGAGUGGGCAGGCCUUUGACCAAGGCUGAGCUAGGAGGGACCUGACGGCCCCAGAUGGAGGCUGGCCCACCCUGCCCCAGCAGAUGGGAGGCUAUUUUUUAACCCCACAGGAAGAAGAGGACAGAAAUGAUUGCAGGGGGUUAACCUAGGCCCCUGGGGACGCUCCCUGUUUGCAUCCUCCUUUCCCCACAACCCAGAGAGCUAUGUGGGCUUCACCUGGAGUUCCCUGAAUCCUUCUGGAGCUCCCCGCAGAUCACAGCCGGAGCUGGCAGGGCCUGAGUGGCCCCUGUCUGCCAGGCGAGGGACCCAGAGCCCAGAGAAGUUUGACCAGGACUGGCUUCCUCUGCCCUCUCUGCUGUGUGCUUCCACCAGUUGCAGCAAGUCCCACCAUCUGCCUGAGUCUGUUUUCAUCUCCACAAUGGAGGUGGUGAUGCCCAGCACACGGAGCUGUGAUGAGGAUUUAAUGGGGAAUCCAGAGCAUUUAUGGAAGUGCCAGGAGGCCAAGAUUCUGCAUAGGGACUGCAUGUGCUGGUGGAAUCUCAGUCACCAUGUCCCACGUUGAAGGAUGUUUGGAGGGGGCUGACUUUGGUCACCCUUCAAAUCAUAAGUUAUAUGCGUCUGCCCUUUCCGCCCACACGUAAGUCUGAACCUUUUGCCAAAAACACUUUUCCCAGACUCGAAAGAAAACCCCAAAGAGGAACCUAAACCUUCACGCUGCCUGCACCGAUUGGACCGGAGUGCUCAGGCUCGCGCCAACAAGUGUUUCAAAGAAGAAGCCAGACAGUGAAGGGGGAAGUGAGGGAGAAGCUGGAAAACUCUCAGGCUGACCAAUCGUCAGCCCAUUCAUUCGUUCAUCCAUCCAUCCAUCCAUCCAUCCAUCCAUCCAUCCAUCCAUCCAUUCUUUCUUUCUUUCCUCUAUCCAUUCAGUGAGAAGGGCUGAAUAUCACCUGUGAGCCUGCCCCUGCUCCCAAGAACACCCUUUGGACACCUGUGGGCUCUGCAAGGUUGGUGUAACCCCUACAGAUGAGGAAACCAGAGACAGAGAAGUGAAGUAACUCAUGCAGGUGACGGCAGAGGGCAGAGUCAGGACUUGAACCUGGAGAGCCUGGCUCUAAAGCCCAAGCUGGAAUCUCGAUACUCUACACCUCGAUAAGUUUUUGGGAAAUGACUGACUAAACAGAUGAACGCGUUUGCCCCCCCGCCGCCCCAGAGCCCCCUUAAAGCCUACAUGUGGCAGUUUGGGCCCAUUUCCUUGGCUUCCCUCCCUGGAGGGGCACCCACUGCCAGUGUCCCUGGUGAGUGUUUGCCUGUGGGGGUACAAGUGAGGGUUCAGCAAAGGUGACCUGGUGUGAGGGGGGGGUGCCCCAGGGGGUGCAGAGGAGGGCCUCAUGAGGCAGAUUCAGAAUGAAGGUUCUGGCCCCCAGUGGAACCGUGCAUGGGCAAGGGGUCCUCAGGGCCAUUGGCCCAUAAUUGUCAGACGGGGAAACUGAGGCCCAGAGAGAGGAAGGGACUUGUCCUUAGUUACACAGAGUGUCUGGAUCACAGCUCUUAGGUCUCAGCUUCCCCAUUUGUCACACAGGGAGAAUAAAUCCCCCUUGUCCUGCCUGGGGGUAGACCCCAGGGGGCCCCUGUGCCCUCUCACACCUUCCAUUCCAGCUUCUAGAAUUCCACCAUCCAUGCACCAGCCCUGAGGGUAGGCGUUGCCCUCUUCUCACCUCCUGCUCACGCCUCUACUGCAGGAUGGGAACCAAAUGCCUCUCCACCCUUUUCCCACACCCCUUCUCUCCACAGUGAACUGAGGGGAGUUUCUGAUCCCUUAGCUCAAAGUCAGAGAAACUGAGAGGGGAGGGCUGGGUGGGAGCCGUGGGAAUGUCAUGCACAAGCAGUCGGACUCUCCAGGGGUCUGGAUCUCUCCCUUGCUGCCUUGAAGGCCCCUGCACAGGCUGUGGCACUGGCUGAGUACAGGUGCCUGAAGGCAGAGGCAUGGAUGGGAUGCUUCAUUCUCAGCCUGUUUUUGCCAGUGAAGACAAAAGGGAAGUCAUCUUCCGUUGGUCUAUGGGGACCCUGAGGUAGUAGGAGCUCGGUGAUAAUUCUAGGGACCACCCUGGGUUGUCAGGUGGGGGAGACAGAGAAGCCCACAUAGGAGGCACCAAAUGCAACUCACUCGUGCCCUUUUACUCAUGAGAGAACACGGAUCCAGAGAUGUCAAGUGACUCAGACACAGUCUCACAGCACACAGGCGGCAGAGGCAGGUAGGGGACUGGGCUUCCCUGGCAGCAGUCCCCAAGCCUGCCUGAGAGGCACAUCAGAAUCGCUUUAGGGGAUUUGCAAAACCACACCUGCCCAGGCCCAAACCCUAGAGAUUCUGAUUCCGCAGUCUGAGGUAGGAAUGGAGAAUCCUCCACAGCCUGAGGUAGGAACUGGGAAUCCAGUGUUUAAAACUCUCUAGGGGCGGUGAUUUCAGAAAACCUGCUGGCUCCAUCACACUUUGCUCAGGGACUGAGAUGGGAUGGCAUUUGGAAGACACAGGUAGGAGGAAGAGGAGGCAGUGGGGGGCACAGGGAGACCCUUCCCCUUCUGGUAAAAGCCUGUGGACGAGAGAACAGCCCGAGUAAGAUUCUGAGAACCCGAGACCCGGAUGGACCUGGAGUUUUUGUCUUGCGUAUAAUUUAGGGGGUCUGUGACACUGGGCUGGAGAUAACCGUGUCUUUCCUUUCCCUGGCCUCUAGCUGAAAUUUAGCAUCAUAUUCCAUGGCGAUUUUCCACCAGUGGAAAUCACAGGUGUUCUCUGGUAUCACAGCGGGGUCAGGGAUGACCUGAAAUAUUGUUCAUGCUCAUCACAACUGCAUGGCCCACCGCGGGGUCUUGUCACUCAGUGAGUUCUUGAAGAGGCACAGACAAAUGGAGUUCAACAAAUGGAAAACAACUGCCUUUAAUUAGCUCCGAGGACUACAAAGGGAACAACGUUAUAAUAGCAGCAACUCCAAGGAAGCAGCCACAGCUCUCAGCUCUCAGACCUGGGGCUGCCGCUCAUCAUCAGCUACAGCUAGGUUUGAUGGGAGUGCCCCCAUUUCAGGGGACAGCAGGCCCCCUUCACUCCCCGACUCAGUCCCCAUCUGCAGCAGCACAGCCUUCCUUGGCCUCACCAGGGAAGAAGAACAGGCCCCGCUCUCAGACAAGCCUUCCCAGAAGCCUGAGGACUCAAACACCCAAAUGUGUCUGGGUCCCUGCCCCGAGCCGGCCACCCAGGCAGCAGCCCUGAAUCACUCGGUCAGCCAGCGGCAGGGCAGGCCAAUGGGCUGGAGGGUAGGCAGGCAGGCAGACCCACCUCUGCAUCUCUGCUGACUGCCUCGGCUGAGGAAAGGCAGCACCAGCCCCCAACCCUGAAGUUCUAGAUCUCAUGCAGCCUCUCUGUUCUGGAACCAUCCAGAGGCACUGCCCUUAUACAUGGUCCACCCCCAGGCUCAGACAAUGAGAAUUCCACAAGCAGAGGGGACUCUAUUUGGGGCACAGAGAGGUUAAGUAACUCCCCUCCUAAGGUCUCUCAGCAAGGAAGCCACUGAGCCGUGGGACUUGAGCUCAGGGACUCUUGAUCCCCAGUCUCAGGUGUCACAGCCCCAUCUGGGCUCCUGCUAGGGAGGAGGAAGGCAGCAGGGGGUGUCUGAGGCCAGGGUGCAUCAGCCCUAAAUGCCAGACAGAGGCAGGAGAAGUCUCCCCAUGAGUCCCAGCCCCAUUAGAGGCUCCAGGUCGGGGAUCCCAGACCCCCUAUCCUUGCUGGGAGACACAACCCAGAACUCUGCAUCCCUGCAGCCACCAAAAAAGGCAAAAGCUGCCCAGAAACACUUUCUCCUCUUCCGUGGCCAAAUCCACGAACUUUCUCGAGGUCUGUCCCCCUGCCCCGUGCAGGUCCAGCUUCAGUGCAGCCCAGCUCUGUGCAGUUUUCCACAAAAGCCUGUGGCUUCCUUCUCCUCCCUCUGCUUCUGAUACCCCAGGAGUUACACACAAAAUGUUGGCGGUGGUCUCCAGGAAGACCCCUGCAUCCCACAGCUCUCCCCAGAAGUUGCCAGCAGUGACCUCCUGAGCCCAGGUGGGGAGUCCCAGGCAGGACAGGGGCUGGGGCUGCAGGCCCUGGGGCCCUGUUAGUGAAGCAGCAAGCCGAGGGUCCCUGAGAGUUUCCCUUGGCCCCUCUGAGGGCUGCCCUUUGAGGUCUUGAGGUCUUGGAGUAUCCAUCGCCCCCACGGCUUACUGUCCCCACCAGCGGAGGAUGAAAGUGCCACAGCGAUGUUCCACGCCAAGAGACCACAGAGACCACCAACCCCUCUUCCCACCUCAGGCUUUCAGAGGCCAGCGGAUUUAGGCGGACAGGCUGUGCGCUUGAGGGCAGCCAGGGCGGUCAGUGGAGGGACGUGGUCCGGGGCCUGGCCACAGCUCCCCACCCAGGGCCCUGGGCUAUUGUUACUCACCGCGGAUGAAGGUCGGCGAGUAGGUCGGGAAGGAGUCGAAGAUGCUGUUCGAUGCCAUGCCCCGCUCUGAAGAAGGCGAGAAUUUUCAGCCCUUCAGGGGGUUGGGUUGGGAUUCACUUGGUUGGCUGUUGUUUUAUUUUUUUUUCCUCUAGCUACUUUUGAAAAUAAAAGGGGGGGGUGUUGCUUUUUGUUGUUU